rnacentral:sRNA from 1 species
CCAAAACUCCUCUUUUUUGUCUUUGUACCUGUUAGGGGUGUAAUGAUGAAAUUUGGAGGUGCAUCCCGAAAUGUGUGCUCAGAUCCAAUUUUUUUUAUAAACAGAGUGGGCUUAAGCCCGAACGAGACGGGGGUGUGAAUGGAAUUGUGUAUGUGGCAGGAAGAAAGAAGUAGCCCACGCCGGGCCCAAGGUCCAUUUCUUUUUUUUCAGAACAGGAUUCUCACCUUCUCAUUCAAGCACAAGACCUAGAGUCUCUCUUCCAAGGCAGCCAACGGAAGUCCCUCCACCCAGUCACGUAUACACGCCACUGUUUCAUCUAAAAACGGCCGCCGCCAGCUGCAGCCAGACGCCGCCCAACCGGCCACCGCGCCAAAACGGUCACCGUGUGUCGCCGUCCCAGCUCUUCCACUAACCCUUGCUGAAUGUUUCGCUGAUAAUUUUUUCUACAAAACUCCAAACGUAAUGAAACUUUUUUUCAUAGAUUCUAGACUCAAAGGGCUUUCAUUUGAAUUCUCAGACAUAAAUUUUGGACCUCUGUGCUAGAUGCAGUAUAAUUUCGAAAUCAGCUCAAUUUUGAAGAGAUGAGUGAAAAAAAAAAUGGAUGAUGACGAAAGUAUUUCUCUGUGCUAGCGGAAUGGAUGUCAUGAAGACAAAGAGGAAUCAAUUUGUGUAUGAGAGAUGACUGUUGAAUUUUCUUCCUUCUUUGGUUUUGAGGUUUUUGAUAGUUGGAAGAUGAGUUUGAAGAAGAAAGGGAUGAAGAUGAUGGGUGUUGGAGGUGUUGGAGAUGAAAAAUGAAGAAGAAAGAUGAAGAUGAUAGGUGCUGCUGUUGGAGUUGAUCACGGGUGAUCCAGAUGGUGAAGAGUAAGUUGAAGAUUUUUUGUUUCAGAGAUGAAUGACGGAUCUCUCCCGUCCGGCUCCUCUGUAAGGUCUUUUCUCCCAGAAGAUGGAUGAUUCUCCCUCUAGUCUAGUAAGGUGUCCUCUCCUUUUUUUUGCUGAGUGUUUUUUGUGUAACCCCUUUUUAUUUUCUCUUCUCCAUUGCUUUUUGCGAAUUGCCAAUCCCUCUACUGUGCCUCCUGCCAAACCAAAUCGCGCCUCUGCUCUCCCCAAAACUUGCCUUGUCCUUGCCUGCCAAUCUGUCUCCUCGCGCAGAA